GAGUGGUGUUUGGAUCGUCCCUGCCGGCUGGCUCCGUGCCCGUCCACCGAACGGUCGGCAGGCGGUCCGCGUCGUUCAUUUUGGGUGGUAUGGUUCCCCAGAGGCUGGUUCUUGUGCUGCCUACCCCAUCAGGGGAAGCGGGCCACAUGAUGUAAGCCUCCAUCCGGCGCCCCCCAACGGGCGCAGGAGGACAAUGGAGCACCCCCCGCGUUCCACCGAGCCUUGGCCGGUCGCGUGGCGCGCGGGGACGUGCGAUGCUCUCGGACCCAGCGAACGCCGUGGGCGAGGACUCACGUCCCAGUCCCGAUAGAAGCUCCGAUAUGAUGCAUGACGGCCGUUCCCGACCCCCGACCGCCCCGGCGGCGCGGGGGCGAGGCGCGGCGUCGCGGAGGAAUGCUACCUGGUUGAUCCUGCCAGUAGUCAUAUGCUUGUCUCAAAGAUUAAGCCAUGCAUGUGA
rnacentral:misc_RNA from 1 species